CAGUAGCCACGGUAAUACGAAGGGUGCAAGCGUUACUCGGAAUUACUGGGCGUAAAGCGUGCGUAGGUGGUUGUUUAAGUCUGCUGUGAAAGCCCUGGGCUCAACCUGGGAAUUGCAGUGGAUACUGGGCAACUAGAGUAAGGUAGAGGAUAGUGGAAUUUCCGGUGUAGCAGUGAAAUGCGUAGAGAUCGGAAGGAACAUCUGUGGCGAAGGCGACUAUCUGGGUCAUUACUGACACUGAGGCACGAAAGCGUGGGGAGCAAACAGGAUUAGAUACCCCCGUAGUCCCUGUCUCUUAUAC
rnacentral:rRNA from 1 species